GACAGGGGUCCCGAGCGUUAGGCGGAAUCACUGGGCUUAAAGCGUGUGUAGGUGGAUGCCUAAGUACCUUGUGAAAUCCCACGGCUUAACCGUGGAAUUGCUUGGUAUACUGGGUGUCUUGAGCUAGCUAGGGGCAACCGGAACAAAUGGUGGAGCGGUGAAAUGCGUAGAUAUCGUAAGGAAGACCAGUGGCGAAGGCGGGUCUCUGGACAGUUCCUGACGCUGAGGCACGAAGGUCAGGGGAGCAAACGGG
rnacentral:rRNA from 1 species